GUAGUAGAGAAGUGCUGAUCCAGGCAGGAAGUGACAUAGCAAGGAGGCUCAUAUUUAAGUGAAGGAGAAACAGGAAGGGCCCCUUUUUCCCGUUCGCCUCCUCCAGUGGCAAGAUGUGAUCCACCGACAAGGAGGGACGCCAAUAAGCCAGAGUGUCUGUCUCUUCGGUGGAGAAGCCUUGAUGGCAACCCCGGAAUGUAAAACCUGUAGGAGGGUUGACAGAUUGUACCAGCUAUCAAGGAAACUGUAAAGAAAAUUCUGUGGCUGUUGGGGAACUGAGUGGAGCCCAAGGUGUGGAUGCUGGACACCUCCCCAUGACCAGUGGAUUACAGAGGAACUUUCAUCUCUAUGAAAAUACUUUCUUCCCCCUGCAGUGCUGUUGCCAGGGAGUAUGGGGGUCACUUUGCUUAGAUCAGUGCCAUGCUCAGCCAUCAUCAGAGAUGCUUCCUGUUGCCGCAGAUGAGAACAAAUGUGAGACCCAGAGCCAGACAAUAUGCAGAGAGUGAGAAACUUUAUACCACUCAGUCCUAUGUGGUCUUAAUCAAAUCCUCUCUCGGGACUCAGGUGAUCAUGCAGAAGAGGAGACAGAAAGAGUGUAUGAACCAGAAGGCAUGGAGGACACCAAAGAAACAAGGUGCUCUAAGUGAACAGGAUCAAUGCACACAUGGAAGCAGAGACGGAGGCAGCAUGCACAGAGUCUGCACAAGUCUGCAGCAGAUUGGGUCCUCGAGCUGAAAGGAGGAGUAGACACAUUCCCCCAUCUAUAAUGCAAAAGCUAUCUCCGAUUGAUGACUACUUACAAAUGAAAAUUUAGUUUUCUCCAAAGGAGUCUCAAUGGGGAAGCAAAAUACGCUUAACAGUAGGCUGCCUGUCCAGUUGUAAAUGGCCAACAAAGCAAUGAACUCAGCCACAUCUUUUGAGGCUCCUUGUCUCAUAAUGUCAUGUCAGGGAUUUCUAUGUUUUAAUUUAAUUUAUUUUUUUACUCCCUACUUACCCUACAGCUCCUUUUGGUGUAUAGUAUGACUUCUAGCUUAGUGUUUUUAUGUGAUUCCUAGGCGUAUGAACAACUCUGAGUCUCUUUUUCUUGUGUCUUUUCUUGCAUUCUUUCCCUUUUGUUUAUUAUCCCUCAAAAUCCUGUUAAUUUUCUAAUGAGAGAUAGAAAAGGGAUAGCUCCAGAGAGAAGAGGGGGUAGGAACAGAGGAGAGUAAAAGGAAGGAAAUCAUAACCAGGAUAUAUAUGUAAGAAAAAAAUCUAUUUUCAAGAAAAGGAAAAAUAUUUUUGGAAAAAAUGUUAACAAAUUAUCUGGGCUAACUACUAGGAAAAUUGAGGUUAUUUUAGGGCAUAAGAAAGCAAUGGAUGGUACAGUGGUGUGGUGAUAUGAAGAAAUAGGAAAUGAAGUUUAUAUUUUAGUGAAGCGUCAGGUUGUUUACAGAGGACCCUUCCCAAACAGACAGAGGAUCUCUCCCAGAACUCUGUCUCCUAUAAAGAUGCAUCCAUUAUGAACAUUGUAGAUAAAGUUUUAGGAGAUAGCUUGUCUUUUAUUUUCUUAUUGAGAAUGAUAAAGUGGUUUUCCUCCUGGAAAUAUCCAAUCCAUCUCCUGAAUCAAGUUCUAAGCAUUUUGUAGUAUUUGACAUUGACAGAGGCAUCUUGUACUUUUUGCUUAUUACCAGUACCCUAUCAUCAUUUGUGGAUACAUCUUGAGCAAACAUUUAAUGCAUUAAUCAAAACCUUGCCUUUCUGACAGUGCUAGUGUUCAGCUGAAUAGGCAAGAUCUGAGAAACUCAUCAUCAUCCCCCAGCAGGCCAGCUGCACUCACACACACAUACACACACACACACACACACACACACACACACACACACACACACACUGUGUGGGAUUACUUUCUACACAGGCACUGAUCCUAAGCAUGCCAGCUGCACCACACACACACACACACACACACACACACACACACACACACACACACACACACCACACAAACACCACUGCGUGGGGGUUGUUCCUUUCUACACAGGCACUGGUUCCCAGCAGGCAAGUUUCACAUACACACUGUGUAGUGUACCCUUCUCUGUGGGCAGAGGUGUCUUGGCACACAGGAGUCACUUGAGAUAAUAGAUGCAUUUUUUGAAAAUGUUCUGAAAUGAUAAGACUGUUAUAAAAUGAGUGAGGAACACUGGUGCAUAUCUAAAAUCCCAUCAUUUGGGGAGCUGAGGCAAAAGGAUUAUGAUAACCAGAAUCAAG
ensembl:lncRNA